GGCGAAGCUAACGCGUUAAGUUGUCCGCCUGGGUAGUACGACCGCAAGGUUAAAACUCAAAGGAAUAGACGGGGACUUGCACAAGCAGAGGAUUAUGUGGUUUAAUUCGAUGAUAAACGAAAAACCUUACCAAGGUUUGAAACCUAACUGAAUAGAAGCAGAAACGUUUCUAGUCUCACAAGGACAGUUAGGCAGGUGAUGCAUGGCCGUCGUCAGUUCGUGAUUUGAAUUGUUCCCUUAAGUGGGGUAACGAACGCAACCCUCGUUGUCUGUUAUACGUAUCAGGCGAGACUGCCCAGCUUUUUGCUCGGAAGCAAAAAGCCAGUUAAAAGUUCAUAAAGUUAUAGAGUUCAUAAAGUAAAAUGCAUUUGCAUCUACUUUAAAAACUUUACAAACUUUCAACUUUAAAAACUUACUUUUUGAGCUUGCGCUCAAAAAGCUGGGAGGAAGGCGAGGAUGACGCCAGGUCAGCAUGUCCCUUUGAUACCUUGGGCUACACACAUAAUACAAUGGCGACCACAACGCGUUGCGACGGGGUAACCCUGAGCUAAUCGUAAUAAAAGUCGCCCCAGUUCAGAUUGGGGGCUGAAACUCGACCCCAUGAAGUUGGAUUUGCUAGUAAUCGCGGGUCAGCUAUACCGCGGUGAAUACGUUCUCAAGUCUUGUACUCACCGCCCGUCAACUCAAGGGAACCGGGAAUACCCGAAGUCUAGCGUAUGCUAGCCCACGGUAAAUUCGGUAACAGGGAGUAAGUCGUAACAAGGCACGGCUAGCGGAAGCUGGUCGUGGA
rnacentral:rRNA from 1 species